rnacentral:rRNA from 1 species
CAUACGACCGUACCGCAAACCGACACUGGUGCGCGAGAUGAGUAUUCUAAGGCGCUUGAGAGAACUCAGGAGAAGGAACUCGGCAAAUUGACACCGUAACUUCGGAAGAAGGUGUGCCCUAUUAGUGUGUAGUGAACAACGAAGCAUGAAUGGGUUGCAAAAAAUCGGUGGCUGCGACUGUUUAUUAAAAACACAGCACUCUGCAAACACGAAAGUGGACGUAUAGGGUGUGACGCCUGCCCGGUGCUGGAAGAUUAAAUGAUGGGGUGCAAGCUCUUGAUUGAAGUCCCAGUAAACGGCGGCCGUAACAAUAACGGUCCUAAGGUAGCGAAAUUCCUUGUCGGGUAAGUUCCGACCUGCACGAAUGGCGUAACGAUGGCCACACUGUCUCCUCCUGAGACUCAGCGAAGUUGAAAUGUUUGUGAUGAUGCAAUCUCCCCGCGGAAAGACGGAAAGACCCCAUGAACCUUUACUGUAGCUUUGUAUUGGACUUUGAACAGAUCUGUGUAGGAUAGGUGGGAGGCUUUGAAGCAGGGUCGCUAGAUCUUGUGGAGCCAACGUUGAAAUACCACCCUGGUGUGUUUGAGGUUCUAACCUAGGUCCAUUAUCUGGAUCGGGGACAGUGCAUGGUAGGCAGUUUGACUGGGGCGGUCUCCUCCCAAAGCGUAACGGAGGAGUUCGAAGGUACGCUAGUUACGGUCGGACAUCGUGACGAUAGUGCAAUGGCAUAAGCGUGCUUAACUGCGAGACUGACAAGUCGAGCAGAUGCGAAAGCAGGACAUAGUGAUCCGGUGGUUCUGUAUGGAAGGGCCAUCGCUCAACGGAUAAAAGGUACUCUGGGGAUAACAGGCUGAUACCGCCCAAGAGUUCAUAUCGACGGCGGUGUUUGGCACCUCGAUGUCGGCUCAUCUCAUCCUGGGGCUGUAGCCGGUCCCAAGGGUAUGGCUGUUCGCCAUUUAAAGAGGUACGUGAGCUGGGUUUAAAACGUCGUGAGACAGUUUGGUCCCUAUCUUCCGUGGGCGCUGCAGAUUUGAGGAAGCCUGCUCCUAGUACGAGAGGACCGGAGUGGACACACCUCUGUGUAUCGGUUGUCACGCCAGUGGCAUUGCCGAGUAGCUAAGUGUGGAAGAGAUAACCGCUGAAAGCAUCUAAGCGGGAAACUCGUUUCAAGAUGAGAUCUGCCGGGGCCUUGAGCCCCCUAAAGAGUCGUUCAAGACCAGGACGUUGAUAGGUCAGGUGUGGAAGC